rnacentral:rRNA from 1 species
AAAUUGAAGAGUUUGAUCAUGGCUCAGAUUGAACGCUGGCGGCAGGCCUAACACAUGCAAGUCGAACGGUAACAGGAAGAAGCUUGCUUCUUUGCUGACGAGUGGCGGACGGGUGAGUAAUGUCUGGGAAACUGCCUGAUGGAGGGGGAUAACUACUGGAAAC